UACGGAGGGGGCGAGCGUUAUUCGGAAUUAUUGGGCGUAAAGGGCGCGUAGGCGGCUGUACAAGUCAAAGGUGAAAUCCCUCGGCUCAACUGAGGAACUGCCUUUGAAACUGUACGGCUUGAGUGCGGAAGAGGGUCGUGGAAUUCCCAGUGUAGAGGUGAAAUUCGUAGAUAUUGGGAAGAACACCGGUGGCGAAGGCGGCGACCUGGUCCGAUACUGACGCUGAGGCGCGAAAGCGUGGGGAGCAAACAGG
rnacentral:rRNA from 1 species